GGUCCCAUGGUCAAGAGGCUAAGACGUUGCCCUUUCACGGCAAAAUCGGUGGGUUCAAAUCCCCCUGGGAUCA
rnacentral:tRNA from 1 species